rnacentral:lncRNA from 1 species
GGGCUGCUCGGUUUAGUAGGGGUCUUCCUCUCCUCAUCUCUCUGCACCUGCAUUUCAUAAGGAAUGGUUGAGUAACGGUUUAUCGGUGAAUAUUUCUCUAAGCAUUAUUGUGUAAGGGAUGGGUCCGAGGAACUCGAAAUAAAAACUAUAAAUAUAACUAUAAAGUCUUUAGGCGUCCCCUUCGCCGUCUUCCUGCGGAACGGGCUCAGGAACUACGUCUUCCUGAUCUGAAAUGUUUAAAUAAGGGAUGAGCUACACCAGCCCAGUAAAGACAUCACACUAUCUCACCGCCACGGAAGUAAAGGUGGGUAGAAAAUAAAAAUGACCAAUGAAGCAUAAUUUAUAACAAAUUCAUUUAU